rnacentral:lncRNA from 1 species
GUGGUUGCUCAACUUGGGCUACCAGAGCCUAGCCAGGGCUGGAAACCAGAGCCUGCUGCUCUCCUCUCCCUUCCUCCCUUCUCAGCUGAGCCCCAGCUUCCCAGGCCAGCAGGACCUACCAGGGGUCUCCCUGGAAACAAACCUCUGGCAACAACUGCGAAGGAGUUUCUAGAUUCAAGUUCCAUGAAGACCCACCUGCCCCCAUUAAAUGUGGGUGGAUGGGUGGCAGCCUGGUAUGGGCUGAGGUUUAGUAUUGCAUAAAAAGAAGAGAGUGAGCUGAACACAGAAUUCUCCACCCUCUGCUUCCUGACUGCAGAUGCAAUGUGACCAGCUGGCUCACACACCCGCCACGUGCCUUUGCUUCCACAAUGGACCGGACUAUACCCUCAAACCAU